rnacentral:rRNA from 1 species
GCAAGUCUGGUGCCAGCAGCCGCGGUAAUUCCAGCUCCAAUAGCGUAUAUUAAAGUUGUUGUGGUUAACAAGCUCGUAGUUGAACCUUGGGCCUGGCUGGCCGGUCCGCCUCACCGCGUGUACUGGUCCGGCCGGGCCUUUCCCUCUGUGGAACCCCAUGCCCUUCACUGGGUGUGGCGGGGAAACAGGACUUUUACUUUGAAAAAAUUAGAGUGCUCCAGGCAGGCCUAUGCUCGAAUACAUUAGCAUGGAAUAAUAGAAUAGGACGUGUGGCUCUAUUUUGUUGGUUUCUAGGACCGCCGUAAUGAUUAAUAGGGACAGUCGGGGGCAUCAGUAUUCAAUUGUCAGAGGUGAAAUUCUUGGAUUUAUUGAAGACUAACUACUGCGAAAGCAUUGCCAA